rnacentral:lncRNA from 1 species
UAUGCAUUCAGUGAUAAUGAUGAUGGCCGUGACUUUCAAAUAACCCUAGUUCAGAAUAUACUUCAUGAGGAAUCGGCACAGGAACAUCUUGAGAAUAUUCCUGGCGUGGAAUGUCCAGAGCUUCCAGUAAGUAUUUUA